rnacentral:rRNA from 1 species
CAAUAGCGUAUAUUAAAGUUGUUGCAGUUAAAAAGCUCGUAGUUGGAUUUGUGGCGUACGGUGUGUUCCGGGCACUUGUUGUCUGAGUAACCUGCUGUUGCCAUCCUUGGGUGGAACCUGUGUGGCAUUAGGUUGUCGUGCAGGGGAUGCCCAUCAUUUACUGUGAAAAAAUUAGAGUGUUCAAAGCAGGCUUAUGCCGUUGAAUAUAUUAGCAUGGAAUAAUGAGAUAGGACUUUUUUGCUAUUUUGUUGGUUUGCGCAAAGAGGUAAUGAUUAAUAGGGACAGUUGGGGGUAUUCGUAUUCCAUUGUCAGAGGUGAAAUUCUUGGAUUUCUGGAAGACGAACUACUGCGAAAGCAUUUACCAAGGAUGUUUUCAUUGA